UGAGACAAGUUGCCUUGUUAUAUAGGAUGC
rnacentral:piRNA from 1 species